AGCCACGUCCGGCAGGUUUUACCCCUGAAAGCCUNUCAAGGGGGAAACCGCGCUGAGCGUUAA
rnacentral:pre_miRNA from 1 species